UUUUAGCCCCGAUUGAAGUGGAAACCCUCUUGCACUCCACCCUGUUUUUUUCUGGUAGAAAAGAGCGACCAGCGGAGGCUCCUUUUAUAGCGUAGAAAAAAGGGUGGAGCAUGAGAGGUUGUAAUGGAAAGCGGGAGUAGCU
rnacentral:sRNA from 1 species